rnacentral:rRNA from 1 species
GAUGAACGCUAGCGGCAGGCUUAAUACAUGCAAGUCGAGGGGUAACAUGGUAGCAAUACGGAUGACGACCGGCAAACGGGUGCGGAACACGUACAGAACCUUCCUUUAAGCGGGGGAGUAGCCCAUAGAAAUAGUGGAUUAAUACCCACUAGUAAUGUUUAAUGGCAUCAUUAGAUAUUUAAAGUAUUUAUUCACUUAAAGAUGGCUGUGCGGCUGAUUAGGUAGUUGGUGCGGGAACGGCCCACCAAGCCAGCGAUCAGUAACUGGUGUGAGAGCACGACCAGUCACACGGGCACUGAGACACGGG